UACGAAGGGGGCUAGCGUUGCUCGGAAUUACUGGGCGUAAAGGGAGCGUAGGCGGACAUUUAAGUCAGGGGUGAAAUCCUGGAGCUCAACUCCAGAACUGCCUUUGAUACUGAAGAUCUCGAGUCCGGGAGAGGUGAGUGGAACUGCGAGUGUAGAGGUGAAAUUCGUAGAUAUUCGCAAGAACACCAGUGGCGAAGGCGGCUCACUGGCCCGGUACUGACGCUGAGGCACGAAAGCGUGGGGAGCAAACAGG
rnacentral:rRNA from 1 species